UACGUAGGGUGCAAGCGUUGUCCGGAAUUAUUGGGCGUAAAGAGCCUGUAGGCGGUUUGUUGCGUCUGCUGUGAAAUUUCGGGGCUCAACCCCGAACUUGCAGUGGGUACGGGCAGACUAGAGUGUGGUAGGGGAGACUGGAAUUCCUGGUGUAGCGGUGAAAUGCGCAGAUAUCAGGAGGAACACCGAUGGCGAAGGCAGGUCUCUGGGCCACUACUGACGCUGAGAAGCGAAAGCAUGGGGAGCGAACAGG
rnacentral:rRNA from 1 species